rnacentral:rRNA from 1 species
AACGGAGGGUGCAAACGUUGCUCGGAAUCAUUGGGCGUAAAGCGCACGUAGGCGGCUCGUUAAGUCGGAUGUGAAAGCCCUGGGCUCAACCCAGGAAGUGCAUACGAAACUGGCGAGCUUGAGUAUGGAAGAGGGUCGCGGAAUUCCCGGUGUAGAGGUGAAAUUCGUAGAUAUCGGGAGGAACACCAGUGGCGAAGGCGGCGACCUGGGCCAAUACUGACGCUGAGGUGCGAAAGCGUGGGGAGCAAACAGG